CCAUAGCUCAACGGAUAGAGCGUUUGACUCCGAUUCAAAAGGCUGCAGGUUCAAUUCCUGUUGGG
rnacentral:tRNA from 1 species